GUUGAAACACCGGUUCCCGUAUGAUCGCUGAAGUUAAGCAACGUCUAGCUUGGUCAGUACCUAAAUGGGUGACUCCUUGAGUAUACUAGGUGCUGUAA